AAUUACAUCGACGAGUAAUACAACGUAGAUCGACGAAAAAAUAGUCAAGUAUCUACGCGUUAUCAAAGAUUACUCAAAAAGUAGUUAUCAGAUCUCAAUAAAAUUUAUAUGUAACUACAUGACAAACAUCAGCUUUCGAUUAAAUUAAAAAUUAUUAAAAUCAGUACACCCAGUAAAAAGUUAUUGCGGAUUUUCAAGAAUUUCCCUCGAUUUCUCUGGGAUUCCAUCA
rnacentral:misc_RNA from 1 species